UGGGGAAUAUUGCACAAUGGGCGCAAGCCUGAUGCAGCCAUGCCGCGUGUAUGAAGAAGGCCUUCGGGUUGUAAAGUACUUUCAGCGGGGAGGAAGGCGAUGCGGUUAAUAACCGCGUCGAUUGACGUUACCCGCAGAAGAAGCACCGGCUAACUCCGUGCCAGCAGCCGCGGUAAUACGGAGGGUGCAAGCGUUAAUCGGAAUUACUGGGCGUAAAGCGCACGCAGGCGGUCUGUCAAGUCGGAUGUGAAAGCCCCGGGCUCAACCUGGGAACUGCAUCCGAAACUGGCAGGCUUGAGUCUCGUAGAGGGGGGUAGAAUUCCAGGUGUAGCGGUGAAAUGCGUAGAGAUCUGGAGGAAUACCGGUGGCGAAGGCGGCCUCCUGGACGAAGACUGACGCUCAGGUGCGAAAGCGUGGGGAGCAAACA
rnacentral:rRNA from 1 species